AGAAAAGUGCAGUGGUUAGAAACUCCAGCACAGAGGGCAAAGAGAUUUGGUUCAAAUUCCAGCUAGACAACCGGCCAUACUGGGGCCUGCCUCAUCCUGGGCAAGGAGACAAUGAUUGUUCUGGGCUUCUGCACUGUGACGGCUAACCAAGUCAGACUCUCGGUGAGCACUCUAUUAAAACAUGCUUAAGUGAGAUAAGUCAGAAGCAGAAGGAGGAAUAUGGGAUGAUCUCACUCAUAAGCAGAAAUUGAAAAACCGGACCAGAAGGGAAAACACUAAGCAGAACUUGGACUGGAGUUGGUGUACUGCACCAAAGUAAAAGACUCUGGGGUGGGGCGUAGAGUUCAGGUCCUGGAACAGGACGGCAGAGGAGGAUCUAGUGGGGGUUGUAUUUUUGUGUGGAAAACUAGGAAAUGUUGUACAUGUACAAACUAUUGUUAUACUGUCGACUGUAAAACAUUAAUCCCCCAAUAAAGAA